rnacentral:rRNA from 1 species
CCUACGGGGCGCAGCAGUGAGGAAUAUUGGUCAAUGGUCGGGAGACUGAACCAGCCAAGCCGCGUGAGGGAGGAAGGUACAGAGUAUCGUAAACCUCUUUUGUCAGGGAACAAAGACUGGGACGCGUCCCCGGAUGAGUGUACCUGAAGAAAAAGCAUCGGCUAACUCCGUGCCAGCAGCCGCGGUAAUACGGAGGAUGCGAGCGUUAUCCGGAUUUAUUGGGGUUAAAGGGUGUGCAGGCGGUCUGUUAAGUCAGCGGUCAAAGCCCGGGGCUCAACCCCGGCCCGCCGUUGAAACUGGCAGUCUGGAGUGGGAGAGAAGUAUGCGGAAUGCGCGGUGUAGCGGUGAAAUGCAUAGAUAUCGCGCAGAACUCCGAUUGCGAAGGCAGCAUGCCGGCUCCACACUGACGCUGAGGCACGAAAGCGUGGGUAUCGAACAGGAUUAGAUACCCGGGUAGUC